AUAGCGCACUCCAAAAUAAAUAUGAAAUAUAAAAAAGCUGAAGAUGAUCAAAUGCCCUUUCCAUAAUUACUUUAUUCAACGUCUUGCGUCUGCUACGUCGAUUUUAGUUUUAUAAGAUUCUACGAAAAUGGUUAUCACGAACGCUCUCUUAAGAUUAUUAAAACAGACAUUAUUACUAUCACACGAUAAAAUUUUUCCAUUUCCCUUUUUACCGGAAGCGGUUGAGACGUUCGAACCGGACCGACGAAGAAGAAUAAACAUCUAAAAGAGGCCCAUUCUCCAGCUUUCCUCUGAGAAAACACCGUGAGGCUUUUACAAGACGACCAGAGGGAUAGCAUCAGUGAAAGGCACUCAGUGUUCAGUUAUUAAUCUCCUGCCGCCGUUGGCCCUUUCAUAAAAGAAGAAUGCCAACGCUACAGGUCCGUAUGGUUUCCUGUCGCUAUGCCCCUGCGGCAUUCAGCGAUCACAUGACCGAAUUAACAGCAUUGUCUCAAGAUUUGCAUUGGGGAAACUCGGGGGCCGGAGCACUACUAAGCCAGGCCUGCUUUCUUUCAGGUCCGGGGGGACC